rnacentral:lncRNA from 1 species
GGGUGAUUCUCCAGAUUGCAGAGCCUACCUGUUCUCCAACAGACCAAUUGCAAGAUUAAAAGAUGCAGAAUAAUGUAUAGAUGAAAGGAAAUUCAAAUUCAGACAAAACUUUUGAACACUAGAUAAAAUUAUAUUUAUAGAAGCACACUUGGGUGACAAAACAAUACAGAAAUGCAAUGAACAUUUACAAUAAAAAAACUAGACUGUGGUGAGGUAUGGCAGGGCAUGCCUAUAAUCUCAGCACUCAGGAGGCUGAGGCAGGAGGACUGCUGUGAAUUUGAGACCAGCCUGAGCUACACAGUGAGUUCAAGUCCAGCUGAACCACAUAGUGAGACCCUGUCUAAAUAAAUACAUAAAUAAAAUAUAAAAAGUUGGCUAGGGCCCUGCACAAAAUGCCCAGUGAAGCCACAGAAGCCAUCCCUGCCACGGAGCAGGAGCUGCCACGGCCCCAGUCUGAGACAGGGUCUGGAACAGAAUCUGACCGUGACGAAUCAGCAGCAGAGCUGGAGGAGCAAGAUUCCACACAAGCAACCACACAACAAGGCCAGCCGGCGGCCGCAACUGCAAUCGAUGAAGAACCAGUCCGCAAAGCAAAACAAAGAAGGCACGAAAGGCACGAUGUCUGUAAGAGUCCAGCUUCAGAUGCCUACAGAGUUUGGGGGGAAGCCACGAUGGAGGAUUUGUCUCAGCAACCUCAGUCAGCAGUGAGAAAUUCAAGGUUCAAGGUGAAGCUGUCGCAGACAUUCAAGAAAAUACACAGACUCCAACUGCACGAGAGGAGGGUGAAGAGAUGGAGGUUGAUGAAACAGGCGUGGAAGUUAAGGACAGCAUUGGUUAUGGCCACAAACAAAUGUGUCGAGGGCAAAGGCAUCCGAGCCCUGAAGAACAACAGUAAUGAGACUGCAAAUGCUACUGUGGGACUAAAACAUAACCACCUGAAAGGCGGACUUUUUUUGGUGUUUCAAAAAGGUCACUGCAGCUUGGUUUGAAAUUUGUACUAUUUCCAUCACUAAUGAACUUAUGAACUAUUGGAUAAAAAAACAAAAAGUUGGCUAGGGAUGAUUGUUGAACUAAGGAUACAGUUGUGAUUCAAGCGUUUGGAAACAAGACCAUACAAUGACUUUAGUGAGCCCAAGGUACUUUUCCUUUUGUGGGCUCUAUCUCCACUAAAAAGCUCAUUUAAAUUGUAUUUUAUGAUAUGCCGGUUGAAGAGAAAUACAUACAUAUAUUAGCAUAUUAAAAGGAUGCAUAUUUCAGAAUUGUUUCUUAAAAUAAAUUAAGGAAUUUUUAUGGGCCCUUAAAAUAAAUAAAAACAUUUUAGAAAACAUAACUAUAUUUUGUAACCCCUUAAGUACUGCAUGCCCUACACACUCUGCCUGCCAGGCCUAAGGAAUAUAUCAACCUUGCUUCUGAGGUGGCUGGUCUGGUGAUCAUCACAGGCGCAUUUUCUUUAUUCAAAGCUGUUUUAAAACUCUGUGUGUGUGUGUGUGUGUGUGUGUGUGUGUGUGUGUGGAAAAUAGCUGGCACUGGUGGACUUCCCUUCUGGUAAUAGCAAAUGAGGUCAUUAGAAACCAUCCUCUUUCUGCCGUGAAGGCCUCAGAGAACUAAAAUAUAGUAAGAGUUACUAAGCUAGGGUUAGCAAGGGUCAGAGAGCCAAAGAAAUUGCUUGGUCAUGGUAAUCACGUUUUUAUCCCCAGGACAUUAAUAACUUUGGAAGGGAAAGUCAAGAGGCUUGAAAGUCAAGCAAACUGAGUGAUCUUUUGGGACUGAGGGACUGAGGGAGUCCAUGACGUGCCAGGUGAGAGAAGAGCCUUGGUAAAACACGAGGUCUUGCUUGGCUUGGGAUCCUGAAGGAUUGCCCUUCUGAAAAAAAAAACUGUAAACUGUAAUACAUAAGAAUGAUCCUUGAAAAUGUUGCAAUCUACUCCUGCUGGAAGUAAAUGUAUGGCCUUUCUGUAGAAAGAUCUUAUAUUCUAAACUUCAAAGACUUGCUACAAGCAAUUUUGCAAAUGCACUUCCUCAUAGUAACCAAAAAUAACCUGGCAAAUUAUGAGACAACAGAACAGAAAAAUGGAACAACAUGCAGUAGGAAAAAAUCUAUAGGGACUCUUGCUGCAGUUGUGAGUGACC